rnacentral:rRNA from 1 species
UACACGACCGUACCGCAAACCGACACUGGUGCGCGAGAUGAGUAUUCUAAGGCGCUUGAGAGAACUCAGGAGAAGGAACUCGGCAAAUUGACACCGUAACUUCGGAAGAAGGUGUGCCUUUAGUAGGUGAACCUGUACAAGGGGAGCCCAAUGAGGUUGCAAAAAAUCGGUGGCUGCGACUGUUUAAUAAAAACACAGCACUCUGCAAACACGAAAGUGGACGUAUAGGGUGUGACGCCUGCCCGGUGCUGGAAGAUUAAAUGAUGGGGUGCAAGCUCUUGAUUGAAGUCCCAGUAAACGGCGGCCGUAACAAUAACGGUCCUAAGGUAGCGAAAUUCCUUGUCGGGUAAGUUCCGACCUGCACGAAUGGCGUAACGAUGGCCACACUGUCUCCUCCUGAGACUCAGCGAAGUUGAAAUGUUUGUGAUGAUGCAAUCUCCCCGCGGAAAGACGGAAAGACCCCAUGAACCUUUACUGUAGCUUUGUAUUGGACUUUGAACAGAUCUGUGUAGGAUAGGUGGGAGGCUUUGAAGUGUGGUCGCUAGAUCGCAUGGAGCCAACGUUGAAAUACCACCCUGGUGUGUUUGAGGUUCUAACCUAGGCCCGUAAUCCGGGUCGGGGACAGUGCAUGGUAGGCAGUUUGACUGGGGCGGUCUCCUCCCAAAGCGUAACGGAGGAGUUCGAAGGUACGCUAGGUACGGUCGGACAUCGUGCUAAUAGUGCAAUGGCAUAAGCGUGCUUAACUGCGAGACUGACAAGUCGAGCAGAUGCGAAAGCAGGACAUAGUGAUCCGGUGGUUCUGUAUGGAAGGGCCAUCGCUCAACGGAUAAAAGGUACUCUGGGGAUAACAGGCUGAUACCGCCCAAGAGUUCAUAUCGACGGCGGUGUUUGGCACCUCGAUGUCGGCUCAUCUCAUCCUGGGGCUGUAGCCGGUCCCAAGGGUAUGGCUGUUCGCCAUUUAAAGAGGUACGUGAGCUGGGUUUAAAACGUCGUGAGACAGUUUGGUCCCUAUCUUCCGUGGGCGCUGCAGAUUUGAGGAAGCCUGCUCCUAGUACGAGAGGACCGGAGUGGACACACCUCUGGUGUAUCGGUUGUCACGCCAGUGGCAUUGCCGAGUAGCUAUGUGUGGAAGAGAUAACCGCUGAAAGCAUCUAAGCGGGAAACUCGUUUCAAGAUGAGAUCUGCCGGGGCCUUGAGCCCCCUAAAGAGUCGUUCAAGACCAGGACGUUGAUAGGUCGGGUGUGGAAGCGCAGUAAUGCGUUAAGCUAACCGAUACUAAUUGCUCGUGCGGCUUGACUA